AGUCACCCGUCUUCUGUGUCGCUAACGCCGAGAGUUGUAGACUGGAGCUGUUCCUAUUUGGCCAUCUUGGCUACUUGACCAGGUUUCUUUUCUUAACGCAGCAUAAUGUGGCUUACUUUUCAACCUGACUUUGGUAUAGCAUCACAUGACAAGGAAAUCAAAGGACCUCUUGAGACUCUAUUGUCCUGAGAUAGGAAUAAUACAGGGUGGAGAAGAAAUUCCAGGCAGCAAUUUCACAUGACUUAGAGUCUUUGGGCUGGUAAGAUCCUGAAAAACAGGGUGUGGACCAAGCUGGCUAAGACCGAUUGGAUCCAGCAUGUCACUGGAUUUGACCGAGGUUUCACCUAGGACCUCAUUAUAUGCUCAUUAACAUACUAAACCACAAACCCAGCAGCACCAUUGAAAUAGGUCAGGGUCACUGGUCUCGUUGUCUAAUGUGUUAUCCGAGCUUGUGGUCUCAAGAAAAUUAAGGAGUGUGGACCCAAAGAAUGAGGUUGGAGGAAAAGUUUAAUAAGCAAAAGAAGAAAAGCUGAAUUGAAAAGCUUUCACAAGAAACUGCUCUCAUGUCUAGUCAUGUGGAAGCACCAGGAUCCCAUUCCUACCACUGAAAUUAAACAAAUGAAAAAAAAUUAGCAUGAAAUUCUUUGUGCGUGGACAGUGACCUGAGAAGACAAUAAGACAUUUCAAAGCAUUGAGUUAAGGAUAAUGAAGUUUAUAAAAUCUAGUGGCAAGAUAUAGCUGACUCUUGACACAGACAGAGGAAAGGCCAUGUGAGACACAGCAAGAAAG